UGCUCAGCCAUUGAUGAAGCCCCUUUGUC
rnacentral:piRNA from 1 species